GGAGCGUCGGGCAGAACGCUUGGACGUGCCGCUUCUGGGCCAGACCGAUGCGGGGCGCGGGCUGCAGGACGCGGGUUCCAGGACAACACACCUCCGAGCCCUAUAAGGUCGUGCAGCGUCCCGGGGAUUCAGUGGGAACCGCAGCCAUAUUCGCGGACGCGCCCGGGGCGGGGUCUCGCGCCAGCUCCGCCCCUCCUCGCCCGGCGGUGCUGGGGUGCUUCAGGUUUAACGGAAAGAAGAUCAAAAUAAGAGGGAAAUAAAAGUAUUUUUUAUAUUCAAGAAAAGAAAAGAAAAUUUGCCUCCAGACCCAAAUCGUGAACGUGUAACCAUUGUUUAAAGGUAACCAACACAGGCUCUGAAAAAUCAGCCAAUCAGAGAUAGCCUCUCUUCAGGGGCUUCCAAAUCAGCCAGUUAUCAACAGCUUCUGAAAGCCAGCUAAUCAUUAACAGUAGCCCAAUCAGCAGCUCAAUGACUGGGCUUCGGAAUGAAAGAGCGGUUCUCAGCCGCUUUGUUCCGCAGACCGCAGUAACAGCCAUUAGUCAGUAAAUUGCUAAACGGUCAAUUUAUUGAAACACCACAACCCCCUACAGACCCAAACGCUAUAUACAUCUUUGGCUUUGUUCGGAGUCGGCUUUGAGAAAUCAGCUUUCCUUUGCAAGCAAAUGUGAUAUUCACCCCGCCCCCUUUGAUAGGUUUUAUGUAGCCUAGGCUGGCCUUGAACCACUGAGCCUCUAGCUUCAGCCUCCUAAAUACUGACAUUACAGGUCUGCAUCAUCAUACAGCUGGAAGGCUGAUAUAAUUUGUAGCAUAGACCAAAAUUGUGUGCCAUUGGACGUUUGACUAAUGCCGUGGUAUGCAUAUACCACAUCUUGUUUAUUCAUUUAUCAGGUAAUUGAAUAAUGGGUUAUUUCCACGUUUUCUGUGCCUUAGCUUGAUGCCAAUAUGAACAGAUGUCGACAAGUUUUUGUGAAGACUUUUUUUUCUUGUAUAUGUAGUAUACUCUUCACAGUAUACUGCUUGAUCAUACAGAAUCUCUAUGUUUAAUAAUUUGAGGCAGUUCUAAACGGUUUUAGAAAAAAGCUACAUUUAUAUUAACAUUAUCAAGGUAUGAGGAUUCCAAUUCUUCCACAUGUUCCCAAACAUUUAAUGUCUAUCUUUUGGAUUAUAGUCAUCUUACUGGACAUGAGGCAGUAGGUUUGUUAUAGUCAUCUUUUCAUGUGAUAUUGGAAAUAGUGUUAACGAGAAUUCCUGGAAAGAAUCUGUGUCUGCAAGACUAACUGAAAACUACAGUGAUGUGGAGAGGUUGGAAUGUGGUAGGUCCAGAUGCUAAUGACCUUGUCUUGGGCUACCUUUGGCCCCUAGAGUAGCCAUUUCUUGCCCACCUUUGUGUCAGAACUAACAUCCUGUGACUAAUAGAUUAAAACCUUUGGGAUAUAUUGAUUUGAGCAGACUACUAGCUUCUGCUAACCCAAAAGCUAAGAAUGUCUUAGGCAUUGUGGCGCAUACCUUUAAUCCCAGCACUCUGAAGGCAGAGGCAGGCAGAUUUCUAUAUGAAUUCAAGACCAGCCUGGUCUACAUAGUGAGUUCCAAGACAGACAGGGCUAUGUAGAGAGACUGAGACUGUGUCUCAAAACAAAACACACACACACACACACACACACACACACACACACACACACACAAUCUAAAACCCAAACCAAAAAAAAGCUAAGAAUGUCAUCAGUUAGCAUCUUAGGCCUAUAAAAAAAGCUUACCCUGUCUUGUUGUAACUGCCUCUCUGAUGUACCCACCAAUGUAUUUCAAACUUGCCUUGAUUUUUUUUUUUUACUUUCUUUGUUCUGUAAAACUAUAAAAACUUCAUGAAACUGCUUCCAGCUGGGUGGUGGUGGUGCACGCCUUUAAUUCCAGCACUCAGGAAGCAGAGACAGGUGGAUCUCUGUGAGUUUGAGGUCAGCCUGGUCUACAGAGUGAGUUUCAGGAAAGGCUCCAAAACUACACAGAGAAACCCUGUCUAAAAAACAAACAAACGAAUAAACAAAAAACUUCAUGAAACUGCUUCUAUGUUGAAACAGACUUUGGGGUAAUCCGAAUCUGUGUUCAGCUCCAGUUUUCUGGAGCCAUGGUCACUCAAAAAUGGCUCCAGAAUGAACAAUGGGCCACCAAGUUACCAUGCAAACUGAGUCAUGCCCAUUAUGAGCUGGCUAUUAUCAGAAUCACAAGGCCAUGAAGUAGGGCAUACACAACAGCAAUCCAACCAAUAUCAAAUGGAAGUGGUAUAGAUGUAAUCGGGCCCAAGCUGGGUCCUGAAGGCACAAGCAAGUUAUGUGAAGAAGUUGCCCAAAUGCCUAUGGUUUCUACUCCUGUUACAAGGCCUUCUGUUUCCAAACGUACCUAUGGCCUCAGGAGGUGUGCCUACAAUCAGUUGACUGAGGAAGAAAAGACCAGGGCCUGGUUUACUGAUAGUGCUGCAUGCUAUGCAGGUACCACCCAGAAAUGGACAGCUGGAGCAUUACAGUUCCAUUCUAGGAACCCCUAAAAGACACUGGGAAGGGAAAUCUUCACAGUGGGCAGAACUCUGGGCAGUACACAUGGUCAUACAUUUUGCUUGGAAGGAGAAAUGGCAGAUGUACCAUUGUUUACUGAUUCAUGGGCUAUAACCAAUGGAUUGUCUAGAUGGUCAGGGAUGUGGAAAGAACAUGAUUGGAAAACUGAUGAGAAAGACAUCUGUGGAAGAAGUAUUUGGAUGGCUCUCUCCAAAUGGGCAAAGUAUGUGAAGAUAAUUUUGUCCCAUAAAUUUUUUUUGACAGGA